AUGGUCUUAUGUGACAGGAAGUUCACCAGCAUCCUGGGGACAAUGGUUGUUGUGAAGCAAAUGUCAGUGAAAGACAGGAAACUCAAGAAGAAAUACAUGGGGGUUUGGAGCUUGGAGUCAGAGUGGAUGGCCAGGAUGAUGAGCAGGUUCCCUGUUAUGGUGACCAGGUAUAAGAUGAGGAAGAGGAUGAAGAGUGGCUUCUGGUCCUCAGGCCGGGAGGAGAGUCCCAGGAGGAUGAAUUCAGAGACUCUCCUGGUUUGGUUGAGUACUUCCAUUGACUUGUGUCUAGUUAUAUACAAGAAGCCUCUGCAGAAGAUGAUGUGCACCACGUCUGUUAAUCAGGUCAAGUCUGCUUCUCAGCCAAAGUUCAGCUUCCUCAUAAGUCUCCCAUGAACUUCUGGACUGAUCGACAAGGAGACAAGCAGGGAUAGAGGAGGAUAUGAUAUACUACUCCAAAGGGGUAACAUGUUU
rnacentral:lncRNA from 1 species